GAUGAAGAACGCAGCGAAACGCGAUAUGUAAUGUGAAUUGCAGAAUUCAGUGAAUCAUCGAAUCUUUGAACGCACAUGGCGCCUUCCAGUAUCCUGGGAGGCAUGCCUGUCCGAGCGUCGUUUCAACCCUCGAGCCCCCGUGGCCCGGCGUUGGGGAUCUGCCCAGGCAGUCCCCGAAAACCAGUGGCGGACCCGUUACAGGCCCUUCCCUUGCGUAGUAGCAUUCGCCUCGCAUCGGGAGCCGGCGGGCUUCCAGCCUCUAAACCCCCAUCAAGUCCGCCCCGGCGGCACCAAGGUUGACCUCGGAUCAGGUAGGAGUACCCGCUGAACUUAAGCAUAUCAAUAAGCGGAGGA
rnacentral:misc_RNA from 1 species